AGUAGUACUAUCACAGUUCGAAUAAUGACACCUUCGAAGCAACACUUCUUCAAAAUCCGACCAGUAAUCACUUAUAAAAAGAAUGAAUUCAAACGAUUCAUUUUUCGUAAAUAUUAGUAAUAUUAAAGGAACGCGACGUUUUUCAUCAGCAGUUUGUAAACUUCGAAGAAAUAUCACAAGAACGUAAAUGAGCUUUACACAUUUCUCGUGAGGGAAAAUCUGAAAGCCAUGAAAUAUUUUUACCCGAGCUUGUUAGCCGCAUACUUUGUUAUUUUAUCUCACGUAUGUGGGACGGUUUUCAGCCUGACGAAAAGCAACGAGAAAUGCGAUAUAUGAAGGAGCUUCGCUGGUGAGUUUGAAUAUAAGUUUAAAGGCAUGUUUUGAUAAGCGUUCGGAGGCUAUAUUAUGCUCUGUCAGCGCAGCAAGUUUUCUACCUAAUGGAUCGUUUGCUCGUUCUCUGGUGCUCCCUCAUCGGAAACACUUAUUUCAGGAAGAAGGUGCUUUUAUGAUAGUUGAAAUCUUGUUUACAGUCCUUGAUGUCAUUCGAGAGUGAAUAAAAUGUGAAAACUUU